rnacentral:misc_RNA from 1 species
CAGUUUUCAAUUGGUCAGUUUUGGUGUCGUCAAAGAAACCCAGCGAUGUGGAGCUAGCAUUUGUCAGAGACACGGCUCAACAAUACGCAGAAAAUGGAAACGAGAAGCUUAUUUCAUCAUCUCAAUCCGCCCUGCAGCCACUGGACGUCAAAAAUAUUAAUACUUUGGAUGAAGCUCUUCUUAAAAUUCAAGAGCUAGAGAAGCGUCUGAAGGACAUAGAGUACAGAAUCCCUAAAAAAUAUCCAGAAGUAAAGUUUUUAACUUUCAAAGAUCGCAAGAGGAUUUUGGUAACUGGUGGUGCUGGCUUUGUUGGAUCGCACCUGGUGGACCGACUGAUGAUGGAAGGUCACGAGGUCAUAGUGGUCGACAACUUUUUUACUGGAAGGAAGAGAAAUGUGGAACACUGGAUUGGUCACGAGAACUUCGAACUUAUUCACCACGACAUUGUUAAUCCUCUGUUUAUUGAAGUUGACCAGGUGUACCACUUGGCGAGCCCAGCGUCGCCUCCGCACUACAUGUACAAUCCCGUCAAGACUAUCAAGACUAAUACUGUGGGAACUAUUAAUAUUCUAGGGCUGGCUAAGCGAGUGGGUGCGAGAGUACUGAUUGCCAGCACCUCGGAGGUGUAUGGUGAUCCCGAGGUGCAUCCGCAGACUGAGGCUUACUGGGGCCAUGUUAAUCCUAUUGGUCCUCGUGCCUGUUAUGACGAAGCAAAAAGAGUAUCGGAGACUUUGGCUUAUUCAUACCAUAGACAGGAAAACGUGGAAGUAAGAGUAGCACGUAUUUUUAACACGUAUGGUCCACGUAUGCAUAUGAACGAUGGGAGAGUUGUCUCAAACUUCAUCCUACAGGCACUUACGGGCAAGGAUUUAACUAUUUAUGGCUCAGGGAAGCAAACAAGGUCAUUCCAGUACGUUAGCGACUUGGUUGAUGGACUUAUUAAACUUCAGAACUCCAAUUAUUCAUUACCAGUCAAUAUUGGCAACCCUGAAGAACAUACUAUUGAAGAAUUUGCAAGGAUUAUCCACAAGAUGGUGGGAGGCAAGAGUCCUAUUGUUCAUAAAGAUGCAGUAGAAGAUGAUCCUCAGAGACGUAGGCCAGACAUCACACGGGCCAAUCAUGUGCUUGGUUGGCAGCCCUUAGUUUCACUUCAGACAGGCAUUGAGAAAACUGUACAGUAUUUCCACAGAGAGUUGAGAAGAUCGAAACAUUCUGAAAGAAACCUCCAUAGUCCAGUGGAUGUGAUCGGACGUUGCUAAGGAACAUGUUGCAUCCAUUAAGGUAAUCUGAUGUUGCUUCCAAACAUAACAUUGCAUCCAUUAAGGUGAUCUGAUGUCUCUACCAAACAUAACAUUGCAUCCAUUAAGGUAAUCUGAUGUUGCUACCAAACAUAACAUUGCAUCCAUUAAGGUGAUCUGAUGUUGCUACCAAACACAACAUUGCAGCCAUUAAGGUGAUCUGAUGUUGCUACCAAACAUAACAUUGCAUCCAUUAAGGUGAUCUGAUGUCGCUACCAAACACAACAUUGCAGCCAUUAAGGUGAUCUGAUGUUGCUACCAAACAUAACAUUGCAGCCAUUAAGGUGAUCUGAUGUUGCUACCAAACAUAACAUUGCAUCCAUUAAGGUGAUCUGAUGUCGCUACCAAACAUAACAUUGCAGCCAUUAAGGUGAUCUGAUGUCACUACCAAACACAACAUUGCCUACUGUAAGGUCCUGUAGCGCAAUGGUCAGUGCAGUUUGUUCACAACUGAAAAAUACUGGGCACAAUGACUGCAGAGGACAGGCAGUUGGUCACAUUUCCUUUUGCCUAAUUCGUCUGUUCACCAAGCAGUAUAAAGGUACCCGGGAGUUAGGCGACUUUUAUAUGUUGCAUCAUGGGAAGGUUAGCCAUUGGUCUAGGAGGCUGUUGUUGAGCUUAAGGGGCCCGGUGACAGUGCACCGAAACUUCCUCAAACGCACUCAGUUUUUUAGGUUAAUAAUAUCUUCAGGGUAAAUGCUCCAACUUUUCCUAAUGGAUCAACAUCAUACCAUGAACAGAAGUAUUUAAAAAAAAAAAUUGAAAAAAAUCAGUUUCAAAAUAGCUUUAAAAAUAUUAAAAUGUCACCAAUUAUUUUAUUCAUUAUAGGCUCAGAAUAGCAUAUAAUGUUCAGGUUCCUCACUGAAAAAUAUUGUUGGAGAGUAUAGUUUACUGUAAAACAUUUUUUCAAUGUGGCCGUCCAAAUAUGUGCAAAAUUUAGACGCAAAAAAAUGUAUAACUCCAAACGUUAUGUUGACCAGACCACACACUAGAAGUUGAAGGGACGACAAACGUUAUGGCUUUGACUAAACGACAGCGAGGAAGCCUUAGAACUAAGAACUUUGCACAUAUGUAGAAAUGGUGAGACUUGGUCAGAAACUGAAUUUUUGGAGCUGUUUCAAAGUUUCAAUUCCUGUUUUAGAGGUACCUGAAGUUGAAGUUACCCACAAUAAAUAUAGUAGUUCUAAUUAAUGAAUUUUCUUGUAUGUUUUAAUAAAUAUUGCUUGGCUUUCGUACUCGAAUAUGUGAAGGUAAGUUGUAGGUAAGUAUGUGUUGAAAUGAAGUCAAGAAAAAAUAACCCUCCAAAAAACAAAAUAUAGGGAUAGGUUAGGGAUAACAAACACAUAUAUAUUGCAGUAUAUAUAUAUAUUGCAGUAUAUAUAUAUUGCAGUAUAUAUAUAUUGCAGUAACUUUACUGCCCAUGUAUAAGUGAUAAGGCCCUCGUCUGGCCCUCAUUCAUCAAUACAACCUAAAAUGACGAAGAAAAUAGUUUGAAAUCUGUAAAUAAAUUGAUCCCAAAAAAUAAAUCAACUGCCACCUGUGGCUGAUUAAAAUGUUGACCAAUUUUGUUCCAACUAAACAUGCUUAGUGCCGGAUAUGUAUUCUAAAGAUGUAGAAGUCAACAAAAUUCGCAUAGAAACAAAGGAGAGAGAGAAAAAAAAAAAAGUGGUUGUCAGCUUUACAUACAAAGGGACACAAGAAAUAUUGCCAUUGGGCAAUGUAUUUAUAUGAUAUAUAAUAAAAUACAGCAUAAUAACAUAAUAAUUCAUUAUUAUGUGUGAAAUCUGGCCCUCCAGGUUGCACCAGCCGCAUAUACACUUUGUAGACCCCGCCUUACUACUACACGUCUUCUUUGUGCAUUGGACAGGUGCUUACAUCUCUUUAUCCCUGAUUGCCAGUAAAUAAGAGGUGUUAUGGUUAUUAUCAGUACCGGUUGCCGCCCGUUGCGCAUGCAUUUAUUUUUUACAAAUUUGUAAAAAAAUCCAUUUCUUAACAUAUUGGGAUGAAACUUUCAUGACGCCUAUGCAAAAUAAUGGGAGAUUUGUUCAAAAUUGUUCACUAUUUUUAAUUUUUUGGAAAAUACUGUCACCAGGCCCCUUAACAGUCUUCUUGCUCAUGUAAAUGAAAAACUGUUCAUUUGUACUGUACAGUACUGUAUAUCCUUUAGUAAGAUUUGAUGCUGUUAUUUAAACAAACAUAAUUGUUGACAGUUGUUUUCACUGUAUAUCUCUUUGAGAUUUAUCUCUUCAUAGUUAGUUUUGUUAUUUCGUGUUUUCUCUACUCCUAGAUCUCUUCUUGUUCAUAUUAAACAAGUUGGGGCAUAUUCUUUUCACAAUCAUAGUUUUCUGAAGAGUCCUGGUGACUCGGUGAAGUCAUCUCAAUGAGAUUGCUCUUAUCUUCUCACGUCUCUUAUCAUAUUAGUUGUGGGAGUUCUGCUCUGCCACCACCCCGUUGGGAAAGCCUGAGGUGGGCCCAUAGGUACUUUUCACUCAUCUCGGACAUCUGUUCUCU